rnacentral:rRNA from 1 species
AGUGAACGCUGGCGGUAGGCCUAACACAUGCAAGUCGAACGAGUGGCGGACGGGUGAGGAAUACAUCGGAAUCUACUCUGUCGUGGGGGAUAACGUAGGGAAACUUACUCUAAUACCGCAUACGAGUGAAUGAGCCGAUGUCGGAUUAGCUAGUUGGCGGGGUAAAGGCCCACCAAGGAGACGAUCCGUAGCUGGUCUGAGAGGAUGAUCAGCCACACCGGAACUGAGACACGGUCCGUACUCCUACGGGCGUCAGCAGUGGGGAAUAUUGGACAAUGGGCGCAAGCCUGAUCCAGCCAUACCGCGUGGGUGAAGAAGGCCUUCGGGUUGUAAAGCCCUUUUGUUGGGAAAGCGGUACCCAAAGAAUAAGCACCGGCUAACUUCGUGCCAGCAGCCGCGGUAAUUC